rnacentral:misc_RNA from 1 species
GUGAAUCAUCAAAUCUUUGAACGCAAAUUGCACUCUCUGGUAUUCCGGAGAGUAUGCCUGUUUGAGGGUAAUUAAAAUCAAAAUAGUUGCUGUUAUUUUGUAACAUUGGUCGUAAACUGGGUUCGUUUAUACCGUUGGCUUCAAGUAGAUUUAAAUUUUUGUUAUGAUUCCAAGAACGUUUUUAAAUUUUUAU